rnacentral:rRNA from 1 species
AUUGAACGCUGGCGGAAUGCUUUACACAUGCAAGUCGAACGGCAGCACGGGUGCUUGCACCUGGUGGCGAGUGGCGAACGGGUGAGUAAUGUAUCGGAACGUAUCCAAUAAUGGGGGAUAACUAAUCGAAAGGUUGGCUAAUACCGCAUACGCCCUACGGGGGAAAGCAGGGGAUCUUCGGACCUUGCGUUAAUGGAGCGGCCGAUAUCUGAUUAGCUAGUUGGUGAGGUAAAGGCUCACCAAGGCGACGAUCAGUAGCUGGUCUGAGAGGACGACCAGCCACACUGGAACUGAGACACGGUCCAGACUCCUACGGGAGGCAGCAGUGGGGAAUUUUGGACAAUGGGGGCAACCCUGAUCCAGCCAUUCCGCGUGAGUGGAGAAGGCCUUCGGGUUGUAAAGCUCUUUCGCAAGGGAAGAAACGAUACAGUCUAAUAAACUGUGUUAAUGACGGUACCUUGAUAAGAAGCACCGGCUAACUACGUGCCAGCCGCCGCUGUAA